rnacentral:tRNA from 1 species
GCCGACUUAGCUCAUCCGGUAGAGCACCUGUCUUGUAAACAGGAGGUGGCGGGUUCGAGACCCGCAGUCGGCU